UCACCCCUCAAGCCUAGCUUGGUGUUGGGGCCCGCCCGUCAGGGCAGCCCUUAAAAUCAGUGGCGGCGCCGUCAGGCUCUAAGCGUAGUAAUACUUCUCGCUAUAGAGCCCUGGCGGUCUCUUGCCAAAACCCCUAAUUUUUUAU
rnacentral:misc_RNA from 1 species